UACGAAGGGGGCUAGCGUUGCUCGGAAUCACUGGGCGUAAAGCGCACGUAGGCGGCUUUCUAAGUCAGGGGUGAAAUCCCUGGAGCUCAACUCCAGAACUGCCUUUGAUACUGGAGAGCUUGAGUCCGGGAGAGGUGAGUGGAACUCCGAGUGUAGAGGUGAAAUUCGUAGAUAUUCGGAAGAACACCAGUGGCGAAGGCGGCUCACUGGCCCGGUACUGACGCUGAGGUGCGAAAGCGUGGGGAGCAAACAGG
rnacentral:rRNA from 1 species